UUUACCAUAUGAAAUUUGAAAUGCUCAAAAAUGCAAAAUUGACUGGUCUGAUGGACACAGGAUGGCCGAGCAGUGAUAGUUGUACAUUUCCAUCACUCGUUGUGUUGAUUUCAUCAUGUCCAUUAGGUGAUGUUUUUUCACUAUAGAAUCAUAUUGCAAGUGCGCGCGCAUUUGCAAUAUGUUUCAAUGUGCAUUUACCAUAUGAAAUUUGACAUGCUCAAAAAUGCAAAAUUGACUGGUCUGAUGAACACAGGAUGGCUGAGCAGUGAUAGUUGUACAUUUCCAUCACCUGUUGUGUUGAUUUCAUCAUGUCCAUUUGUUUAUGUUUUCUCACUUUUGCAAAGUCACUGUGCAUUUGCAAUAUGGUUCAAUGGGCAGGUACCAUCACGAAUUUGUCAUGCUAUAAAAAUCCUGCAGGAAUGUGAAAUUGACUGGUCUGAUGAACACAGGAUGGCCGAGCAGUGAUAGUUGUACAUUUCCAUCACUUGUUGUGUUGAUUUCAUCAUGUCCAUUAGGUGAUGUUUUUUCACUAUAGAAUCAUAUUGCAAAUGCACGUGCAUUGUUGUGCAACUGGUAACCCAAAAAUAAAAAUAUGGUUGUAAAUGCAUUUACCGGUCAUUCUGAUAUUAAUGCUCGCUAUGGGAACACAGGAUGGCCGGGCAGUGAUAGUUGUACAUUUCCAUCACUUGUUGUGUUGAUUUCAUCAUGUCCAUUAGGUGAUGUUUUUACACUAUAGAAUCAUAUUGCAAGUGCGCGCGCAUUUGCAAUAUGUUUCAAUGUGCAUUUACCAUAUGAAAUUUGAAAUGCUCAAAAAUGCAAAAUUGACUGGUCUGAUGGACACAGGAUGGCCGAGCAGUGAUAGUUGUACAUUUCCAUCACUCGUUGUGUUGAUUUCAUCAUGUCCAUUAGGUGAUGUUUUUACACUAUAGAAUCAUAUUGCAAGUGCGCGCGCAUUUGCAAUAUGUUUCAAUGUGCAUUUACCAUAUGAAAUUUGAAAUGCUCAAAAAUGCAAAAUUGACUGGUCUGAUGGACACAGGAUGGCCGAGCAGUGAUAGUUGUACAUUUCCAUCACUCGUUGUGUUGAUUUCAUCAUGUCCAUUAGGUGAUGUUUUUUCACUAUAGAAUCAUAUUGCAAAUGCACGUGCAUUGUUGUGCAACUGGUAACCCAAAAAUUAAAAUAUGGUUGUAAAUGCAUUUACCGGUCAUUCUGAUAUUAAUGCUCGCUAUGGGAACACAGGAUGGCCGGGCAGUGAUAGUUGUACAUUUCCAUCACUCGUUGUGUUGAUUUCAUCAUGUCCAUUAGGUGAUGUUUUUACACUAUAGAAUCAUAUUGCAAGUGCGCGCGCAUUUGCAAUAUGUUUCAAUGUGCAUUUACCAUAUGAAAUUUGACAUGCUCAAAAAUGCAAAAUUGACUGGUCUGAUGGACACAGGAUGGCCGAGCAGUGAUAGUUGUACAUUUCCAUCACUCGUUGUGUUGAUUUCAUCAUGUCCAUUAGGUGAUGUUUUUUUCACUAUAGAAUCAUAUUGCAAAUGCACGUGCAUUGUUGUGCAACUGGUAACCCAAAAAUAAAAAUAUGGUUGUAAAUGCAUUUACCGGUCAUUCUGAUA